GGAUUUAAAGUAUAUUCUGCCCCCUGAUUAAUCUAUUAAAGGGCCGCAGUAGCCUGACUGUGCUAAGGUAGCAUAAUCAUUAGGUUCUUAAUUGGGAUCUGGAAUGAAUGAAUGAAUAAGGGGGAGCUGUCUAUCAAUAGAGUUUGAAAUUAAAUUUUUAGUAAGAAUGCUAGAAUNCUUUCAGUGGGACGAUAAGACCCUAUAAAGCUUUACUAAUCUUUAGUAAAAAUUUUUACUACUUUUAUGAAGAGNUUUAGUUUUACUGGGGCGGUAGCUAAUCAACUUAGCUAAUUUUCUUUUAUUGUGGAUCCAUCUUUGGUGAAGUAAGAUUAAGUUACUUUAGGGAUAACAGCAUAAUAUACUUAUGGAGUUCUAAUCGAAGAGUAUGAUUGUGACCUCGAUGUUGAAUUAACCUAAUUGUAAGGUGAAGAAGCUCUACGAGUUAGUCUGUUCGACUAUGAAAGGGUUACGU
rnacentral:rRNA from 1 species